AUGAGUAGGCACAAUUGGGCUAGGAACCCAAAGUGCUCCUUCUGCAAUGAGAGGAAGACCUCUCAACAUCUGUUUUUUAUACGCCCCGAGGCCAGGGUAAUUUGGCAUACGAUAGGCUCGGUUCUUGGUACGAGUUGCUGUCCUAACAACCUGUGGCAAUACUACUUAUGGUGCUAUGUUUAUCUUCCUGACAGGGUCAAAUAUUAUACCUUAUGCCUUGCUGCGAUCUGCUGGGCAGUUUGGAAUAGCCGUAAUCGUGCAACAUUUGAAUUUAAGCUUCCUAAAACACCAUUUGAGAUUAUCUUUUCUGCCUAUGUAUUUAUGCAUUAUUGGGCGGGUCUGAUGAAAGGUACUGAGCGGACUGCAAUGGAGCGUGGAUCAGGGAUGCUGAAGGAGAAGGCUUGUAAUGUGAUGAGGAUUCGCACGACGGUUGCAGAUGAAGCGACAUCCAACUGA
rnacentral:rRNA from 1 species